UGCUGAGAUGCGAUUCUUGUCAACAUCAGAUAAUCUCUUCAAAACUCCUUUGAAAAAGCAACCCGUAUAUACAUGGGAAAGGCCAGUCUGCAGUGAAAGAGGGGGAGCUGAUGUUUUCUGCUCACAUGGAAGUGCUGCAAUAUACACUGUUCUGUGAUGUUGUGCCAGACAACAUGGACUAAACCAGCAUAUCCAUCCACACUCAGCUUUGUCCGCUGCUGUAAUGCAGAGCAGGAACAACUGGCCUUUAGAUAAGGUGGGCUCAAUUGCAGAUGUAACAAAAAAGACCAAGGAGCAGCAUGACCACCCAGCAAGGGAAGGAGCCUGUAUCUGUACGCCUUCUGUGCAAGGUUCAAGAAAGAUACUUACUGGAUCAAGCAGAGCUGACUUCACAUCUUCACCAUAUCGAUUUCGAAGACAGGGUCCACAGAACUGCCCCCUGACUCCUCCACAGCCCUGCUUGCGACAGAUUG